UGCCUUCUUAGCAUAACGGGUAAUGCGGCCUUGCACUAUGGCGGGCAGAUGUGGGUUCAAAUCCCACAGUAGGUAA
rnacentral:tRNA from 1 species